UGACAUAUAGCUUCUUUUCCUCUACAAGGAGAGAAUGAAAUGGACACAUUUGAACAGUUCAUCUUUCAUGUACUCUUCAUAUAUUGGAAAUGAUGACUAUAUACCCACAUGCUGGAAAAGAGAAGGUUUAUAUUUAAUACGAAUUUGCUUGUUUCGCUCUGCACACUUCUCCUGGGGAAAAACUGAAUAAAAAACUUCAGGGCCUCAAAAAUGGAUUCCACACCAAUUUACAGAAAGUUUGGGAAAGAAAGUGGUCAAGUAAGUAUAUAAAAAAAUAGAUGUACUUUACUAGCAACCAGAGACAUGCUUUACAUUCCUCCCAAUGUCAAAAAUAAAUAAAUAAAAUAAAAUAAAAAUAAUAAAUCUUAAUGGAUAAAAUCAAGUGUUAUCAGGCAUAUGGGGAAGCAGGAAGUCACAUGCAGGGCUUAUGGGAGUAUGAACUGUACAGCCAAUCCGCAGCAGACACCCUGCAGCUGUUAAUAUAUUUGCCCUCAGUGAUCCCGCUCCAGAGGACACAUUGAUCACUUAAUGUCUUUGUGGCAGCAGACAGUUGCAAAGCAAGCCAUCAAAGUCCACCACUCCGGGAAGAAAUGAGUCAAUGGAUUGCUGUGUAGCACAUAUGCAGCAGUGAGAAACAAUGAACUAAAUGAACAUAAAGCAACAUGCUAACAGUUUUAAAAUCUAGUUUUGAGGACAAAAAUGUAAGGAACAGGAAUAGGCUGAUCACAUCAGCAUGUGUAUAAAAUUUAAAUAGGUACACACAUGAUAAGCACUAAAUAUUUUACAUGGAUAUUUGUGUAUUUAUAUGUAUACUUUAGAUAUAUUAGAGUGAAACCUGUGGAGGGGAGUGGCAGGAAGUGGGAGCAGGGAUUGGGCAUAAAACAAAAGAAUAAAAUAAGAGAAGGAUCCUGCACGAAACGAGGAGGACAUAAACUACGAAAAGAAUGCAGUAAUUCAAUUUGCUGCCUUGGGAGUCAAAUAAAAGAAAAAGGGAUGGAGGGAAGGGAGGGAAGAAUGGAAAGGAAGAAAAGUCUAUUAGAAGGAUUGUAAAAAUAAUAAUCUCAACAUGAACACAAUUUUAGGAACUUUUCUGUUGUGGGUAUAAUUCAUAUAUUUUAGUAUUUUUUUAUAGUAUGUAAGCUUUGGAAUACUGGAAAUUGCAGGAACUUCAGAGUACAAUAGUCCUAAGUUAAAAUUUCUCUCUCUACACUGUUUUUCUUUGCGAUUCAGUGUUUUCUAUGUAAAAUAGAAGUACAUCUUAGUCACUGAACUAACAUGUGUGCCAGACUCAUAGCAAGCAUUUAAACAAGGGGUGGCUAUCUUAUGUUUUUAUAACAAAUGUGUAUAUAUGUCAGUCUGCUUAUUUAUAUUAUCUGUCUAGAAAGAAAAUUUGGUUUAAAAAUACAUUUUCUGUAAAUCAGAUCCUUGAAUUUAAUUUUACUACUAAAUAGUAUCUUUAUAGAAAUCAUGUUAUUUCUUUCCAUUUAGUAACAAACUCUUUGAUAAGCUCUUAAGAACUUGUAAGAUUACUGUGUUAA